rnacentral:rRNA from 1 species
AGAGUUUGAUUAUGGCUCAGGAUGAACGCUAGCGACAGGCUUAACACAUGCAAGUCGAGGGGCAGCGGGGCGGCAGGCUUGCCUGCCGUUGCCGGCGACCGGCGCACGGGUGAGUAACACGUAUGCAACCUGCCCGUGGCAGGGGGAUAAGCGGGGGAAACCCCGUCUAAUACCGCGUAACGCGGCCUAGGGACAUCCCAAGGCCGCCAAAGGGAGCAAUCCCGGCCACGGAUGGGCAUGCGGCGCAUUAGCUAGUCGGCGGGGUAACGGCCCACCGAGGCGACGAUGCGUAGGGGUUCUGAGAGGAAGGCCCCCCACACUGGUACUGAGACACGGACCAGACUCCUACGGGAGGCAGCAGUGAGGAAUAUUGGUCAAUGGGCGCGAGCCUGAACCAGCCAAGUCGCGUGAGGGAGGACGGCCCUACGGGUUGUAAACCUCUUUUGCCGGGGAGCAACGGGCGCCACGUGUGGCGCCACUGAGAGUACCCGGAGAAAAAGCAUCGGCUAA